UGAUUAUGCAGGUGGCUCUGUGAUUCAUCUGUCAUCUGGGAUGGCUGGUUUUACUGCUUCUUAUUGGGGUAAUUUUGACAUGUAAUUUGCUUAUUUAUUUAUUUAUUUUAAGAAUUUGCCGUGCCUCAAAGAAGUUAGUGAUUUUAUGUAUGAUCAUCCAUGAUGGUGAUUGUGCUUAAUUAGGUAGGACCCACGCUUCCACAUGAUAGCCAACACUUCCCACCCAAUAACAUAAUUCACAUCUUAGGGGGUGCAGG
rnacentral:misc_RNA from 1 species